CAGUUUUACGGAAUACUGUUUCCGCUCUGUUUACUCGGCCUAUUAGAUAUUAGUACUCGAUACAGGUUUGCGUUGCAUGGACAGACUCAUCGUCGGAUACCCACGGGUGAUCCAUUCCGUUACCUCCAUUGAUGUAUGAAGCGUUAGCGUAAUUAGCAACCGUGGGUAUCCGACGAUGGGACAGACUGUAAGAUCUUCUAACAUGGCGGACAAUUCUCGGUCUCAGAGAUUUAUAUAGCGCCCUUUUCAUGAUCAAUUUCAUGUUCAAAGGCGUUUUACAUUGUUCAAAUGGAGCCACACAGGGCGCAUAAUUCAUCCUCUACUAGUACAGACACAGAGCGAUCUGACCAGGGGGACAGACUGAGACAAAACCCCGACGACAGACAGAUCAGAAAUCAGAUACAGGCUUGUCCGGCUAACUUAGCCUAGCUCGUUGCGAAUAGACAGCCUGUUCUUUAACGUACAUUACGGACGUUUGCUAACAGCAACAAAACUACAUCACAACUGACCAGACAAUCUGAUUGUAGCUCCCAUUAUAAAGAAAGAUAAAUCGAACAUUCAAUCUCAACCCGGAUAUUGUGGUCUAAGAUCAAGUUGGUUUUUAGAUCACACUGGCACAAUUUUGAUCAUACACAACUUCCAAGCUUCAGCCACUGAGGAAGACGUGAGAUGGCUUCAUCACAUGACGACCUGAGCAGAACUCAAAUCUGCAGUAGUGACAGACAGGUGAUUCGGUGUCAAGGGCAUUAACAACACGAUUACGGAGAUCCAAAGAUCAAUCCUGUCAUAUCUUAGAAAACAAAAACAACAACAAAACAACAACAACUUUUGUUUGAUAUUUGACAGUACUUUAGUUUAUAGUCAAUAACUUCAACUGUUUUUGUUUGUUUAUAAUAAUGAUUUUUGCUCGUUUAAAAAGCAAAUCAUUUACACCUUUUAAAAAUGGAUGAGGGUCGUGAAAGUAUUAUUUCUUCUACUGAUUACCUAAUUAAUAUAGUUGACAAUUAUUACAUGCUCUGUUAGCUAAACAUUCUAGUAAAGAUAUGCAUUGUUUAUUUAAGAAACAUUCUAACAUGACUCGGUUUGAUUUCCAGUUAAACAAAGAAGGAAAUCAAGCUCUGUAUAUUCUGCAAUAAACAACGGUUGACGCGCGGACAGGCAAGAGAACAUUGUGACGUCAAUUAUGACGACAAAUUGCCGCAUACAUACAUGACGUCCGAUACAUAACUCCUCUGGUAAAUGAAGUCCAUCAUAAUAUUUAUAAGGUCAAUGAGCAUGUCAGAAUGAAACCAAUUAAGACCUUCUUAUGAUUUAUCGUCUAAUUUACCACGGUUCAUCGUUCAGCUCCUUCAGUAUUCAACCACUCGGGCUAACGCCCUCGUGGUUCAAUUCCUACGCAUCUAAACUCUGAACCGUUGUAAAUCAGACGAUAAACCACUCGAAGGCCUUGAUUAUUUGUUAAGUAUAUCCCAAACAGUGAUUUUGUCAUGGAAUAAUAAAAACGUUAAGGAGUUAUUUCUAUUGGGCGUUGUACGAUACACCAGUGAGAAAGUAUUGGAAUUAAUAGAAAAGGAAAUGACUUAGCAUCGCAUGUUUAUAUGUUUAUAUGUCACACAUAACCACUGAAAGAGACUUUAUCAUGUUUGUAUUUACUGAGGUUAUACGUCCACGGAAUAAUUUCAUGAGGGCGUAGCCCGAGUGAACUAUUUUGUCGAUGUAUAACCUCUUUUGAGUGUAUUAAUUUAAGUAAGACACGUUUUUUCUAUACAUUAGGCCCUUUAUCUAAAACAGUAAAAAAUAUAGUAGCUCUCUCCUAUGUUGGUCGCAACAGAAACAUUGACGUCAUCGCACGUUAACGUGACGUCAUUUUAGCGUAAGCAUGAUUUAAUUAACAGAAACAAGUAUAUUAGAACUAUUGUAUAUAUUAUUUUUGGAUGGGCUUAUUUAAAACAUUUGGACGUCAUAGGUAUUUAAAACAUUUUUGAUGAAAUUUUCACGUAACGAACACUUCUUGUAGUUUUGAUCUUUUUGACUGCUUAAGCCAUUUAUUACAAAUAAACAUUUACUUACAUUAGUAAGGCCACCAGAUGAUCUGGCAUAUUUGUUACAUCGCUUCUUCUGCUGAACAUCAUUUGUCCGGUUUUUUAUUUCUUCGCAUUAAACGUGCAGAAAGAUAACCACCUCCGUAGCCUAGUGGUAGAGCGCCUGCUUCGAGUGCGGGAGGUCCCGGGUUCGA
rnacentral:lncRNA from 1 species